UUAACACAAAUUUGAAUGGAGUUGGAACGUUUGCCGCUAGGGGCGCUGUUCCAACUGCAUACAAAUUUGAGUUA
rnacentral:pre_miRNA from 1 species